rnacentral:lncRNA from 1 species
AAUUGUCAGAGUAAAAUGGGAAAUUUGUUCUUAUUUUAUUUGUUUUCCUAUUUUCAAGGUCAUCUAGACAUUAGAGGGCGUUAGUGAUAGAAAAUAUUUCGCUUGUCUGAAUAUAUGCAAAUUAGGGUGUGGUGCCGAGAAUGCUUAAAGGUGUGUACGUGUGGACUUAAAUCAGUGCAGUUGACUAGAAGACGAGGUUGGAGCUGGACGUGUGAGAGGUCUUGAACAUGUACCCUUAUGUGUGUUGUGGAAGUUGCUACCAGAGCCUUGAUUUUGUAUUCGGCGCAAGCAGUCCUUUUCCUCAGGCGACACCGGUACGAGAGGUAUCCUCCAUGUAGCCCAGAACCUCGAUUUUCCUGCCAUUGGCACAAUUUUGUCAACAUAACUCCGUAAGAGCGGACAAGAACGUUCUUCACUACUAACUAGUAGCACGCUGAGCGUCAUCGAAAUAGCAUCCAAGCAUCGAAUCGUCGAAUUAGCAUCCAAGCAUCGAAUCGUCGAAUUAGCAUCCGAGAAUCGCCGAGUCAGUAUAUCCGGGAUCUUGAAGCACGUGACCGAUUGCCGUAACAAGCGAUUACGGGACAGCAACCUUCACAAGUCUUCAAGCAUCGAAUCUUCGUAGGAACCAUGUCGGUAUUUGAUCUUUUGAUAUAGCAAAUACCAAGCAAAAGGCUUUCGCCUUAUUUCGGACAAUUGUCUUAAUUUCGGACACUUUAAAAACUGGGAAGUUAACUUGUACGAAUUACACUUUUGGGUAUUGGAGUAAUUAAAUGACCGUACGUAUAUGUAAUAUUUCUGUAACAGCAGAUGUCUAUGAAUUUAGAUGUUGGUGUAGUUGUCAAAUAAAAGUCUGUAAAACUCA